GAUGAACGCUGGCGGCGUGCCUAAUACAUGCAAGUCGAGCGAACGGACGAGAAGCUUGCUUCUCUGAUGUUAGCGGCGGACGGGUGAGUAACACGUGGAUAACCUACCUAUAAGACUGGGAUAACUUCGGGAAACCGGAGCUAAUACCGGAUAAUAUUUUGAACCGCAUGGUUCAAAAGUGAAAGACGGUCUUGCUGUCACUUAUAGAUGGAACCGCGCUGCAUUAGCUAGUUGGUAAGGUAACGGCUUACCAAGGCAACGAUGCAUAGCCGACCUGAGAGGGUGAUCGGCCACACUGGAGCUGAGACACGGUCCAGACUCCUACGGGAGGCCGCAGUAGGGAAUGUUCCGCAAUGGGCGAAAGCCUGACGGAGCGACGCCGCGUGAGUGAUGAAGGUCUUCGGAUCGUAAAACUCUGUUAUUAGGGAAGAACAUAUGUGUAAGUAACUGUGCACAUCUUGACGGUACCUAAUCAGAAAGCCACGGCUAACUACGUG
rnacentral:rRNA from 1 species